AGUUGUUAGAUUUUGAGUAAAAUUGAACAAGCGGAAGUGGUGCUUUGCUCGAAUGUGGCUACCACGAUCUCCCUACCUGACUCCCCUGAAUUUCUGCUUGUGGGGAUACAUGAAGUCUAUGGUGUAUGAGACGACCGUAACAUCGGAUAUGGGAUCUUAUCGUCAGGAUCUUAGAAUCGGCGGUACAUGUCCGUGACACACGGGCACAUUUUUGAACGGGCCCGUGAACCCAAUCGUCAACUUUGUGAAGCAUGCAUUGUGGAGAAUGGACGGAAUUUUGAAUAUCUUCUGUGAUUUAACCAUGUUCUUUAAUAAAAGCCAACAUCUUUUGUUUCUCCCUCUCUA